AGAUUCAUGAAUCAAUUAAAAACAUAUUAUUAUCAAUUAAUCCAUAUUAGUGUUAAAAUGAAAAUAGGAAAGGGAUUAGGUUUUGUGUUUACGUGAACAUCAGACUUGUUCUUCUUCCUCUCUUCACAUCCGAGACCAACGGCGGUCGGACCUCUCUCUCCGAUCAAAUCGCAGCGGCGCUCUCUCGACUCGCUCUCAUGUUGUUCAUCUCCGACUCUCUCCGAUCUCACCUCUCCUCUCAUCUCUUUGGUCUCAAAAUCAAUUCUCAGACUCACUCCUUUCAGCGACCUUUAAAAAUCGAAUCUAACAACAACAGGAAUCCAAAUUCCGACGGUGUUUCAACGGUCACCAGAUGUCGCAUUGAAACUCAGAUUGUUGUGUUUGCGCGAUGUUGUUGAGUGAAGCGCGUGAUGAUGAUGAUUGUUGAUGUUGCGAUGGAUACGUAAUGAACAUGAUGGUUGAAGAUUGUUGAUGUUGCACUCCACAAAGUUUUGAUGCAGGUCGCUGUUACUGAGAUCAUUGAUGAUUGAUGAUGAUUAACGCGUUGUAAUGAAACCGAUGCGGUGAUGUUGUUGUUGCGCAGUGAGGAAGAGCGUUGAAGAUUUAUGAGAGAGUGAGGUUCUGAGUUUAUUACGAGUGAAUUUUCUGUUAUCUCCUCUUCCAAUUUCUGUUUGUGAUUCUCUUGCGCAGGUUAAUUUGGUGGUUGAAGGAUCGAUGGAGAUUGAUGACAAGAGAAAGAUGAAGAACGUCAAGAAGAUUGGAGAAGGUCAUUGAAGAUUGAAGAGAACCGAAGUUUGUUACAGGUUGUUACAAUUCUCUUCUGUGGGACUUAUCGGUUUAUGUUGAGUUGGCGUGGGGCUCAUAGGCAUGACUUGAAGUUUGGCUCCUUGAUCAAGAGUACACAUGAGACUUUUUUCUGGUCAUACUGUGCAGGGUAUUUGGUUCUGAUGCAGCAAGUGGCGGUUUAGAGCUUCUUGGAUUGUAUGGAAGCUGAUUUUUUUUUUAAUUUUAUUUGAUGUAAUGGGCCUUGGACUUUGUCAUUUGAAUGUGGACACUUGUGAACUUUUAUGUAAUGGACCAUUGUAUUUAGACAUUGAGAUUUUAUAAAAUUGAAUAUGAAUUUUGCAGGCAAUUUGAAUGAAUUUUGAAUGUAAUUUUGUAAAUUUCUCUUGCAAAAAACCUUGAAUUAAUUCUCGACAAAUCAUGAGCUUAAGAACUUGAAUCCCAUCAAUUAAUCUCUAACACAACUUUGAACUUAUGGAAUCCCAUCAAUUAAUCUCGAACACAACUUUGAACUUAUGGAAUCACUUAAUCAACUUCAAAUCUAAAAUCAACUUGCAUUCUUAAUGAACUCCUAACUUCAGUCUCACAUCAACUCGCA